GUUUUUGUGGCAGAUUAGUGCAUUAGAUUUAAGCUCUAAAAAAGGUUUACACCCAAAAACU
rnacentral:tRNA from 1 species